rnacentral:rRNA from 1 species
AUCAACGCUGGCGGCGUGCCUAACACAUGCAAGUCGAAGCGAGAAAAGUGGAGCAACUCCCUGAGUACAGCGGCGACGCGGGUGAGUAACACGUGGUAAUCUACCUGGAGUGGGGGAUAACCUCGGGAAACCGGUGCUAAUACCGCAUACGAUAUCUGAGGUCUGCGAAGCUUGUUAAUGAAAGGAGCAAUUCGCUCGAGAGGGAGGUCCGCGGCUGAUUAGCUAGUUGGUGAGGGUAAUGGCUCACCAAGGCUACGAUCAGGUAGCCGGUCUGAGAGGACGGUACGGACACACUGGAACUGAAGACACGGUCCAGACUCCUACGGGAGGCAGCAGUGGGGAAUUUUGGCAAUGGGGGCAACCCUGACGCAGCAACGCCGCGUGGAGUGAUGAAGUCCCUUGGGACGUAAAACUCCUUUCGACGGGAGAACCGCUAAGGUUGACGGUACCCGGUAGAAGAAGCCCCGGCUAACUCCGUGCCAGCAGCCGCGGUAAUACGGGGGGGGCAAGCGUUGUUCGGAAUUACUGGGCGUAAAGGGCGCGUAGGCGGUGCGGCUAAGUCGACUGUGAAAAUCUCUGGGCUCAACUCAGGAGCCUGCAGGCCGAAACUGGAGUGCUAGAGUGCUGGAGGGGGUAGCGGAAUUCCUGGUGUAGCGGUGAAAUGCGUAGAUAUCAGGGAGGAACACCUGUGGCGAAGGCGGGCUACCUGGACAGAAACUGACGCUGAUGCGCGAAAGCUAGGGGAGCGAAACAGGAUUAGAUACCCUGGUAGUCCUAGCCCUAAACGAUGAAUGCUUGGUGUGACUGGGGAUUUAUAGUCCCCGGCGUGCCGUAGCUAACGCAUUAAGUAUCCCGCCUGGGGAGUACGGUCGCAAGGACUGAAACUCAAAGGAAUUGACGGGGGACCCGCACAAGCGGUGGAGUAUGUGGUUUAAUUCGACGCAACGCGAAGAACCUUACCUGGGCUCGAACUGCUAGUGACAGGUGCGUAGAGAUACGCUUUCCUGGUAAACCAGGGACACGAGUGCAAGGUGCUGCAUGGCUGUCGUCAGCUCGUGUCGUGAGAUGUUGGGUUAAGUCCCGCAACGAGCGCAACCCUAUCCAUUAGUUGCCAGCCAGGUCAGGCGGAGCACUCUAUGAGACUGCCGGUGACAAAACCGGAGGAAGGUGGGGAUGACGUCAAGUCCUCAUGGCCUUUAUGUCCAGGGCUACACACGUAGCUACAAUGGACGAGCUACAAUGAGUUGCAAACCCUGCGAAGGGGGAGCCAAUCGCAAAAAAGCUCGUUCUCAGUUCGGAUUGGCAGUCUGCAACUCGACUGCAUGAAGCUGGAAUCGCUAGUAAUCGCAUGAUCAGCAUGCUAGCGGUGAAUACGUUCCCGGGUCCUUGUACACACCGCCCGUCACAUCACGAAAGCCAGGUUGUACUAGAAGCCGGCAAUUCAACCGCAAGGAGAUAGCCGUCCAAGGUAUGACUGGUGAUUGGGGUG